rnacentral:rRNA from 1 species
CCUACGGGAGGCAGCAGUGAGGAAUAUUGGACAAUGGGCGCAAGCCUGAUCCAGCCAUGCCGCGUGCAGGAAGAAGCAUCUAUGGUGUGUAAACUGCUUUUGUACGGGAAGAAACACUGCUACGUGUAGCAGCUUGACGGUACCGUAAGAAUAAGGAUCGGCUAACUCCGUGCCAGCAGCCGCGGUAAUACGGAGGAUCCAAGCGUUAUCCGGAAUCAUUGGGUUUAAAGGGUCCGUAGGCGGUUUGGUAAGUCAGUGGUGAAAGCCCAUCGCUUAACGAUGGAACGGCCAUUGAUACUGCCAGACUUGAAUUACUAGGAAGUAACUAGAAUAUGUAGUGUAGCGGUGAAAUGCUUAGAUAUUACAUGGAAUACCAAUUGCGAAGGCAGGUUACUACUAGUUUAUUGACGCUGAUGGACGAAAGCGUGGGGAGCGAACAGGAUUAGAUACCCUGGUAGUCCACGCCGUAAACGAUGGAUACUAGCUGUUCGGGGUAACCUGAGUGGCUAAGCGAAAGUGAUAAGUAUCCCACCUGGGGAGUACGUUCGCAAGAAUUGAAACUUNAAAGGAAUUGACGGCUGAGACGNGCGAGNGACACGAGGAGGAG